UACGAAGGGUGCAAACGUUGCUCGGAAUCAUUGGGCGUAAAGCGCACGUAGGCGGCUUCGCAAGUCGGAUGUGAAAUCCCUCGGCUCAACCGAGGACGUGCACCCGAGACUGCGGAGCUUGAGUACUGAAGAGGAUCGCGGAAUUCCCGGUGUAGAGGUGAAAUUCGUAGAUAUCGGGAGGAACACCAGUGGCGAAGGCGGCUAUCUGGACCGGUACUGACGCUGAGGUGCGAAAGCGUGGGGAGCAAACAGG
rnacentral:rRNA from 1 species